UCAACCUGAUCAUUAGAUGAAUUUGCUGCUUCCACACUUUAUUCUAAUUGUGUUUGUUUAUACACGUUACACUUUUGCCCAGUUAUUUAGUUCUAAUUAAUAAAUUGGAAACAAGCAUGGUAUGAAUGUCUGCUUCCCAAGACCACCUUCCAGAAGUGGAGGAGCUGCAGGAAGGCAAGCAGCAUUGUGAGACACACGGGCCAUUCUCCAGAGCUGUCCUUGCAGAGCCCCAAACCCAUGAUCCUGACUGGAAAACCCACCAUUCACUGAAGGCCUGAACCUGCUUCCCUGGUGAAUCUGGGAACAGCCUCUUAUAGUACAGAGCCACUAUUUAUUCUGCCCUUGUGCUUCCCUUGAGUAUAAGUUAUGAUAUAUCAGCAUUGUCUUUGAGGUCUACUGAAUCUGUGGAUAUGCAAUACUCUGAAGAGUGGAGACGGAAUGAAGUUGAAAGGAUUCAUGAAUAAAAAUCAGAAACUGGAAAUGCCACUAGAGCAAAGGGAUCCUGAAAUCCAUGUGGAUUAUAUUCCUGGACCAAGGAAGACAACAGGACACCGAGAAAAUUAACCUCAGGCAGAAAAAAUGACAGCAGCAUGCAGAUGCCUGGAGUGGAAUUCAGAGAGAACUACUUGACAAAAAUACA